CCCAGGGGGGUGGGCUCGGCCCCGGGGCGGGGGGGGGGGGGGGGGGGGGGGGGGGNNNNNNNNNNNNNNNNNGGCGGCGUCGGUAGCUGCACCGGGCACGGUGAGGUCGCGUCCCUCGAAACCGGUUCAGCGGCGGAGGACGGCGGCCAGGGGCCAGAGCCAGGACACGGCCCAGCCCAGCGGGUCCCAGGCCGGGGCGGCGGAGGUCCAGGCGCUGGCGGCGGCCGUCCAGUUGCCGUCGCGGUACUCGGCGCCGCCGUCGCCCGCCGCCGGCUCGCCGGCCGGCCGGGCCCGGCGCAGGGCGGCCCCCGCCGCCACGCCGGCCGCCGCUCCCGCCGCCGCCGCCCCCGCCACCCGCAGGGCCGCCCCGGCCGAGCCGUAACGGGGCACCGCCGCCCUCACCCGGCCGCGGGCGGCCCCCCGGGCCCCGCCGCGGGCGGCCCCCCGGGCGCCGCCGCGCCCGCCCUUGCCGGCCACCGCGUCGCAGAAGGCGGCGGCCAGCAGCAUCAGCGCCCAGCACGCCGCCGCGCUCCGCCGCAUCCCGCCGCUCGGCCGCACCUGGGCACAAGGGAGAGCCCGGCGCUCAGCCGCGGCCCGGCGGGGCGGGCGCGCACGCGUGUGCGCGGCGCGGCCUCGCCCGCCCGCCCGCCCCGGCCGCGGGCAGGAGGCGGCUGCCCGGGCCCCGCGCGUCGCGUGAGCUGCUGCCGCGUGUGCGCGCCCGGGCUGCGCGCGGGCGCUACUCACGCGGGUUGCGGGUGCGCGUCGCUCGUGCGCGCGCGCGCUGCCACCGCACGUGCGGCAGCCCGUGGGUUGCGUAAGCGUGCCGCCUCGCGCGCGCAGGCCACGCGCCUGUGCGCGCCCCACGCAUGGCCGCACGCGCAGGCACGGCUGCGCGGCUUGCCCACCCGCGCCGCUCUGCCGAACGCAGCAGCCCGUGGGUGCGGGCGCGCGGCUCACGCGCACUCAAGCGGGUCCCUCGGGCGCGCCUGUGCACGCGCGCCACACAUCCACACGCCCCCCCACACACACACACCCCCCCGCAGCAGCACGCACGCGUGCACGCGCACGGCCGCGGGGCACGUUCGUGGCCCCCCCCCACCCCGGCACCCUCUCCCGCCGGCCGGGCUCACCGGGCCCGGGGCUGCCGCUGGCUCCCUCCGCUCCGCUCCGCUCUGCUCCGCUCCGCUCCUCCCCGCCCGCGCUCCCGCCGCCGCGCUCCCGCCGCCGCCGCCCCCCCCCCCAACUCCAGGCACGGGGUCGCGCGGUCGGGGCCGCGCAGCGGCAGGG
rnacentral:lncRNA from 1 species